rnacentral:rRNA from 1 species
UUCUGGCUCAGGAUGAACGCUGGCGGCGUGCCUAACACAUGCAAGUCGAGCGGACCUGAUUGAGUGAUUAGCUUGCUAUGAACUCAUGACUGGUUAGCGGCGGACGGGUGAGUAACGCGUGGGUAACCUGCCUCAUACAGGGGGAUAGCAGUUGGAAACGACUGGUAAUACCGCAUAAGCGCACAGUAUCGCAUGGUACAGUGUGAAAAAACUCCGGUGGUAUGAGAUGGAUCCGCGUCCGAUUAGCCAGUUGGCGGGGUAACGGCCCACCAAAGCGACGAUCGGUAGCCGGCCUGAGAGGGCGGACGGCCACAUUGGGACUGAGACACGGCCCAGACUCCUACGGGAGGCAGCAGUGGGGGAUAUUGCACAAUGGAGGAAACUCUGAUGCCAGCGACGCCGCGUGGGUGAAGAAGUAUUUCGGUAUGUAAAGCCCUAUCAGCAGGGACGAUAAUGACGGUACCUGACUAAGAAGCCCCGGCUAACUACGUGCCAGCAGCUGC